UUGCAACUCCAAGAAACUUUUGUGUCAAAUGCUUUAAUUAACUAACAAUAGCUACUACUGACCAUGUUCUGUUACUGCUGAUAUUAGUCAGUUCAGCAUUUUGUUUAUGCUGUUUAACUUCUGUUAAGAGAUGAAUUAAAAUUACCACUUCUUUUUUAAAGAGAGAGAAACAAAGCCCUGCAUGACAUUUCUACUCUCACAAUACUGAAGGUCAUUUAUAUAUAUUUUAAGAACCACGAACUAAAGAGGUAUAGCUCUUUCAACAGAUAGGUUCUAUUUUAACCUUUUCUCUUUGGCUGAGGGCCGUAUCUUGACUGCAGAAUAUUCUACACAGAAGAAGAGAGAGAGAAAGAAAAGAAAACUUAAAAUAUUAGAUGAUUUGUCAUUCAUUUAAGGCUAGGAAAAGGUUCAACUUUAUAUGGUGGUGUGUUAGGUGAACUUGAUUUGCAGAGAUUCAGGAUGCUCUCAAAGAGUAUGAAGCACUGGAAGUUUUAGUCUGAAGCAGAGACAAACUGGUUCUACCGGUCCGUACGCACCUCUGCACUAACUUGCACCUAUUUGUGGAAAGAAAUGAACACAGCACAGUUACAGACACUGUCUCUGACAUACAAGCUGCUGGAGGCUGGUAAAUCAUUCUGGAAAAAAAAAUCGUGACGACUUGCUCCUGGGCUUUCCCUGGGCCUCUGCUAUAGACCCCUGCUAGACAGACGAUACUAUCUGUAUCAGGCAGGACCAUUCAUGGAAAUCAGAAACUCCUCACAAAUAACCUAAGACAGAGGUGACCCAACACAACAGUCACAGAUUCCAACUUAAUGGCACAGUGCCAGUCACGCUGCUGCAUGAUUGACGUGGGACUAAAGAUCUGCCUACUGCAAUCAUUGUAAGUUCUCUGAUGUUUUACAGCAGCUGACCAUUUGUGCUUGAUUACAUUCGGGUAAGAGAAAGCGGCUGACGUCCAGCAACUGGUCAACAUUACUGUGAUACGAAGACCUCUGCCAUAGGAAGAAAUAGUCACUACAGAUCAACUGCUGCACAGCGCGUGACUGCAAGAAGGCCAGGGGAAAAGUUAGACUUCAUGUCCUAACUUUUAUUUUCCACGUCCUCCAUGACAGUAUACUUACCCAACUCUUUUGCCCAGUCUUAUCUGGCCUUAUAUCUCUUUGCACACGCUGGUUAGGAAAGGAGGCCAGGAAGAACAGUUGUGAGCUAUUUCUGCCUCUCAGUUGCACUUAGCAUGUGAUGGGAUCAGCCAAGUUUCAGUGCUGAGUAUCUGACAGGCAGCAGAGACAUGGCUGCGACUCUAGGCCUCUGCAUGCAGAAGCGGUUCAGUUGUACGAGUCUGAUUUGCAGUUAGGUAGUGGCCAAGAAAUGCCAGUUGUCGUGGGACAGGAUUUCUUAAAUGACAGAUCAUUUACAAAAUAGGGUCUAUCCAUCUUCAGAGACCUACUGUGCAAACCGAUACAAUAUUCACACUAGUGCCACCUGCUGCUCUACACUGUCUGUUGCAGCUCAACUAGGUAAAAUUUAAAUCUUGAAAAUUAAUUACCAUCUGACAAAUGCACCAUAUUAUAGCAAUAAAAUCUAACACUCUGUUUCUCUUCCAAUACUUUUGCUGAAAAUCUCUCCAAGACUUAUUCUUCAUCAUAAGUAAACAGUAUGCUGUAGUAUACUUGCACAAAAUAUGCUUGUGUACGCACACAUGGAGGGAAGAAAGAAGGCUGAUGGCUUCAAGCAUUGCAUUACACAAUUCAUUCAAGUGAAAAUAAACUGUAAGAGGCAGCUAUUCUGUUUUUUUUUUUUUUAAGGAAAGAACUUCCAAAGUUCAGGUAUUUUUAAAAAGCUUCUAGAUUACUGAAAUUGUGACAUUGUAACAUUUACAGGUUCAUUUAAAAUUGCCAUUGAAUUUACAGAUAGUAUUCUCUCCUGUCUAUAAAUGCAUGAAUCCAUACCCUGGGUCUCUUCAAUGCCUAUAUUAAUCAAUUAAGAUAUUUUUUAUAAAAGUUGAUAGUUCUUGUUAGCUCAAGACUGACUGUUGAAAUGCUAGGGAACUUUAAUUCAUAAUAUGAACAAAUUUGCGAUGAUAUGUGUAUUCAGACAAUUAAAAAACCUUCUUACUACUUAUAUUGUUUGACAGUUAAAGGUAACAUGUUUAAUACUUGCAGUAUUUGCUAUUGGUCUUAAUCUGUAAAAAGAGUUUAACAGAACAGCUGCCAUUAUAGCUCAACCAAUAAUCAAGAGUUAUCGCAAAGAGGAGAAGAAUCACUUGAAAGUAUGACUGAACACAUACCAAGCAUUUAUUUAAAGGUAAAUAUAUUCCAGAGCAGAAUGAUUCAUUGAAAGAUUGCUUUUCUGUCUUAGAGAAAGACUUUAUACAAAAGAUAAAAGAAAGCAGAAAAGAAGCUCUUCUGAGCCUAUACGUACAAUAUAUAUUGUGUCCUGAUAUUUACAUGUAUUUACUACUUGGAGCACAAUUUUCAGAUGUAGUCCAUUGUCAUGUUUUUGAUAACUGUUAUAACUAGGAUAAAUGAGUUUUAAAGAAACUAAUGCAGAAUUAAAGACUUAAUUGAUCUUCCCAUACCCAUUCUUUUUAAGAAUAUAUGUUUCAAUACCUACUGAAUUAAAAUAAAAAAGGCAGCAGUAAUUUCAGGAAAUUAAAACCUACUUCUGAAACAGACAGUUACAUUUAGGAUUGGCUUAUCAUACUAAAUGAAGUAAAAUAUUAGCAUGAACAUAAUCUGUAGAGUAGACUACUUUUUGAUGCUUAACAGUGUUAGAAGAAAACACUGAAAUUGCAUCAAUUUUUUUUCUCCUAGGAGCCGAAUUUUUAGAAUUUCCAAAUGAAUUAUUUUACAGUGAGAAUAAAUACCUAUUACUAGUAUCAAAUUUGUAUCGACGUGAACUAUGCUUAAGUGUUUUUCCUGGCCGGUGUAAACUUGCUUCACAAGCCACAUUCUAGGUUAUUAUAUAUUAUGAUUAUCUGUGCAAAAAGCCUGUAGGCAACACAACCUUCUUGUAGUAAUGCUGGUGUUUAUCACUUUGUCAGUGUGAUUUUUCUAUUGAGGAAUACCAUCUAAACAAAACCCAAGUUUUACAGAAAUAGUUAGAUGACAACUCCAAAUGUCAACUCAUAUCAAGUUUAACUUGGUUUUAAAAUUUUAACAAUAUUCU